UUUUUCUUUUUUUCUUUUUUUUUUGAGAUAGUCUCUUGCUCUCUUGCCCAGGCUGGAGUACAGUGGUGAGAUCCUGCAGCCUCAAACUCCCAGGCUCAACAGUCCCUCUGCCUUGGCCUACCAAGUAGCUGGCAUCACAAACGCACACCACCGCGCCUGGCUAAUUAUUUAUUUUUUGUAGAGACAAGGUCUCCCUAUGUCGCCCAGGCUGGUCUUGAACUCCUGGAUUCCAGCAAUCCUCCUGCCUUGGUCUCCCAAAGUGUUGGGAUUACAGAUGUGAGCCACUGUGCCCAGUUUCAGAGGGCUUUUUCUAAAAAUAGAAAUAAAAGAAUGUCCUUCUUCUUUCUGUUCUCAGUCUUUAGGAUGAAGUUCAUGCUCAUUACACAGCUUACAACAGCUGAAAGCAUUCUCUCCUACUGCAGCCAACCCUCAGCUGAUCUCUUCACACUCCUCUGCUCCCAGUUGGUACUCUUGUUUUUUCCCAGUUUCUCCACCCACCCCUUCCAUCACCAGACAAGCUCCAUUAAUCUUCCAAACCCUUCUCUCCAAGGGAGCCACCUGUCCCCUUCUGUAGUUACCACAGGGCCUUAGACAUUCCUCUGCUUCGUGUGUGCUGUAUUGAAGUGUCUUGUCAUCUCUGUCCACGCCACAUUGCACCCCAGUGCCCAGGGAAAUGUGGGGGAAUGUGGACUCUCACUAAACCUGUGUUCCAUGGACAAAUGAACAAAAUGAACAUUGGCACUGAGUCCACACUGAAUACAUGUUUAUGGAAAAGAGGUAGAUGGAAAAAGGAGAAAAGAAAGGAAGGAAAGCAAUCCAUCUCUAUAUCCAAGUGUCUCGAGUAAGACCAGAUACUGCUAAGUUUGUGCAGUGAAUGAAUGAAUUAGUGAUAGAACAAUAAAUGAGUGAAUGACUGGUCUUGCCAGAACCUGGCCCAAUGCCUGGCUGGUGUGUAGUGAAUACAGGUCCCCAGUCCCAUGUGUGUUUCAGCAUUCAGAGCUUUUCAGACUGUAGGUAGACAAUGCACACCUACGUUGCAUGUUAUCACACAAGCUCGGGGUGGGGGCAACAUCCCGACACCCACAUUAAUGCAUCCACAGAGAAACAUCUGAAUACUGGGAUAAAUAAAAUGAAUGAAUGUGUGGGAACAAAAAUGACUGAUAGCCACAGAUCAGUCAAGGCCCCGUUUGGCUGCUGGGUGGGUUACAAAAAGCCUCUGGGUUUUUGGAGCUCUUCCAGAUUGGGGAUUGUGUAUUGGGAUCGUGGGUCUAUUGAUAUAGGUUGGACCUGUGUGCUCCACCAAAUCUCAUGUUGAAUUGUAAUCCUUAAUGUUGGAGGUGGGGCCUGGUAGGAGGUGAUUGGAUCAUAGGGGCAGUUUCUCAUGAAUGGUUAGCACCAUCCCUUUGGUACUGUUCUCGUCAUAAGAGUUCUCACGAGAUUUGGUUGUUUAAAAGUGUGUGGCACCUCCUCAGUCUCUCUCUUCCUCCUGCUCUGGCCAUGUAAGAUGUGCCUUCUUCCCCUUCGCCUUCCACCAUGAUUGUAAGUUCCCUGAGGCCUCCCCAGAAGCUGAGCAGAUGCCAGCAUCAUGCUUCCUGUACAGCCUGCAGCACUAUGAGCCAAUUAAGCCUCUUUUCUUUAUAAAUUACCCAGUCUCCAGUGUUUCUUAAUAGCAGUGCAGGAGUGGAUUAAUACACCUAUGCUUAGUAAAGGUCUGUUGAAUGACUGAGUGCCCUUGGCUGCUCCCGCUGAGUGUUACCCAGGGCUGUCUGUUAAGUGC
ensembl:lncRNA